rnacentral:lncRNA from 1 species
ACAUCAACAAAACAUAGUAAACAAUACAAAAACAUUGUGCAAAAACAUUUAAGUGAAAAAAGAGACAGUUAACAACAUUGUCUGUAAGACGAGGAGGUCAGAUCACGUGUGAAAGAAACAUUUUGGACAGACAGAUUUCCAGGUUGAGAUAUUAUCACAGUCAAAUGUAGAAUCCAGCGCAGACUUGUAAUGAUGGUAAAGAGCAGAUCUGAAACAAGCGACCGAUGAAAGGCAACGGGUUGACGUAGGUAGACUGUUCCACAGUUUAACAGUUCGUACAAAGUAAGUUUUUUGAAACUGAGAGGUUUUACAUUUUGGGACUACAUAAUCGAGGGAGCAACUGUUUCUAGUUGAUUUUAGUAACAUUUUUGGCUGGAUUAAGGUAGAGAUGUCAACACUGUAGAAACCAUUGAUGAUUUUGAAGAAGAAAACAAGAUCCUUAAUUUCAUGCCAAUAGCAGACGGGCAAUAGUUUCAAUGCUAGUAGUCUGUAUUUGUAAGAUUGAUAAAAAAGACAGACUACUAGCAUUGAAACUAUUGCAACAGAUUAUGCAACAUCAACCAAGGUUUAAUAGCAAUGAACAGAGUGUUCAGCAACAUACCCAGGGUCUUCACCCCAAAAGACCUGGGAUGGGAGACGGGGCAUAUGGCGCAAUCUACAUAUGGGUUAAAUAUUAAUCUAUUGAAUACAGUCAUUUUUAUUUUUUUUUGUAUUUUUUUCGUUUUUUUUUUUAUAAAAUAGGUAAUUGGACAAGUACUGGUGUAAGACAUUGUGUAGCGUAAAUAAUGAGAGGACCAGUAUCCAGGCCUUUUUUAACAAACAAGCGGGGCAAAUCGGCAUGUCCUGAUUGUGCUCAGCAACUUUUGAGCAACUUUUUGCGUUUGGAGCAACUUUUUUCGGUUCGAGCAACUCCAAGCAACUUUUUCAUUUUUGAGCAAUUUUUGAGCAACUUUUUACUAGAGUUCAAACUUUACAGUAAGAAAUGUUUACAUGUCAUAGACAACUUCAUUUUCUUGCUUCCCACGAACAAAGACCCUUGGUACAUACGAGGCUACUUCAUUUUCUGUGAUAUUUUUCUGUCUUAUUUUUCUUUUUUUUUUCUUUUGUUUUGUUAUUUGUAAAACUUUUGUAAAGAAAACGUUUUCUCCUUAUAAUUCCAAACAAUUUAUCCAGGCCUAUAGAAAUUGUAUAAAGCUUUUAAUUAACGUAUGUUGUGAAAUUAUCGUGAUGAGUACAGACUUUUUGAAUUUUAGGCCCUGUUUACAUGAGACCGGAGUGACUGAAGUCAAACCGGAAUGAAAAUUGAAAUUGUCAACAUGUUUAUAUGAGACCGGUACGAAAAUCACAAAAUUUUCAAUUUAUUUCCCUUGCCAGGCAAUUUUCUUUUUCAGAUGGCUUUUGUUAGCAUGUGUUGUUCCAAUGUCAAGGUUACAGCCAAGACCGGUCUGAAAUGUAUUUGUGUUCACAUCCAUCCCGGUCUGAAUUCAUGCCGGUCUGAAGUCAGUCAGUUCGGUUCAGCAGGCGGAAUGACUUGAGACCGGUCUGAGUUAUUUUCGUCCCAGUCUCGUGUAAACAUUUAUUAUAGAUAAUACUAUGACUGAAACGAAAUGGUCCCGGUUUGACUUCAUCCCGGUCUCAUGUAAACGGGGCCUUAGUAGCAACUUUUUUUAUUUCGGGCCACUUUUGAGCAACUUUUAUAUGCUUUUAAGAGAGCACCUUUUUUGUUUUAGAGAGCAACUUUUUUGGAUUUUAUGAGCACAAUUGGGACAUGCCUAGGAGCAAAUGUCUGCCUUAUGCCCCCCCCCCCCACAAAAUCACAUUUUGCCCCCUCCCCCAGGAAAAGUCCUUUUUCCCAAAUUUAUACAAACAAACCAGCGAAAAAUAACAAAUUGAUAAACAAAAAGUAAGUUUUAGGCUUUAUCCUUUGUCCUUGUUUAAAAAAUCAGUUUAAAUUGUUACGUUUUUCUACCUGGCACUAAGUAACUGUAAUGAUAAAUUAUUAAUUGUUGAUAAAUUAUUAAUUGUUAAUAAUUUUUUUAUUUUUUGUGCGUUUCUUCCUUCUUUUAUUUCAAAUACAAGUAUACUUAGCAUCAAUUUUAGAGCAAAUUAAAUGCUCAGAAUGCAGAAAAUGGAAUUUCAGGGCUUCAAUUUUCAAAAAUUUUCUGGGGGAAUAUGCCCCCAGACCCUGUGGCAUUCAGCCAUUCCUAUCCCCCUCUAAUAUAUUAUCUCACAGAAAGGUCCCUUUUCAAAAAAUCCCCCCCCCCCACAUGGGAAAAUCCUUAAAAAAGGCCCUGACCAGUAUACAAAAAAAAACUAUUAAAUGUUUGUUUACAUAUUAAAUUUAUACUUCUGACAACACCACAUGCUGUUUGAUCACACAUGCAAUGGUGUAAUUGGGCACAAAUUU